UACAGAGGUCUCAAGCGUUGUUCGGAUUCAUUGGGCGUAAAGGGUGCGUAGGCGGCGCGGUAAGUCGGGGUGUGAAAUCUCGGAGCUUAACUCCGAAACUGCAUUCGAUACUGCCGUGCUUGAGGACUGGAGAGGAGACUGGAAUUUACGGUGUAGCGGUGAAAUGCGUAGAUAUCGUAAGGAAGACCAGUGGCGAAGGCGGGUCUCGUGGACGAGUUCCUGACGCUGGAGGCACGAAGGCCAGGGGAGCAAACGGG
rnacentral:rRNA from 1 species